AUUGAACGCUGGCGGCAUGCCUUACACAUGCAAGUCGAACGGUAGCGGGCCUUCGGGUGCCGACGAGUGGCGAACGGGUGAGUAAUGCAUCGGAACGUGCCAUUGAGUGGGGGAUAACGUAGCGAAAGUUACGCUAAUACCGCAUAUUCUGUGAGCAGGAAAGCAGGGGACCGCAAGGCCUUGCGCUCUUUGAGCGGCCGAUGUCAGAUUAGCUAGUUGGUGAGGUAAAGGCUUACCAAGGCGACGAUCUGUAGCGGGUCUGAGAGGAUGAUCCGCCACACUGGAACUGAGACACGGUCCAGACUCCUACGGGAGGCAGCAGUGGGGAAUUUUGGACAAUGGGGGCAACCCUGAUCCAGCCAUGCCGCGUGAGUGAAGAAGGCC
rnacentral:rRNA from 1 species